GAACAUAUGCCAGGGGCUGCCAUUCUAAAGGGCUGAGCCUUUGUGAGAAGGCAGUGAGGAUUUGGAUUUGGGAUGAUACUGACUGAGCCACAGGAGCCCAAACAUCUGCCAGAGCCAGCAACAGGAAAACUCAACAGCUGAAAUUUGUUGUUAUUCUUCCCAUCUUCCACUGUUUCUCUAACCAGAGAGUACUGUGGCCAGUGUAUAUCCACAAAUAAGGAUUGAGAAUAGAUGAGAAACCUGGAAAGCUUCAUUACAUUUCCAGGACACCAGAGUAAGAAUCGCCAUGCCAGACAUCAAAUUGAUGUUGUGCCAUUUCUCUCCUGGAGGCAAUUUUUGAGAUCAUAAAAGUGUGCAAGGGACAUGAAAAUGGGGCCUAGAUGAUUUGGAACUGACAGAAUUUUCAGCUCAUGGAUACUGAGAAAGAACAGAAGCUGUUGGUAUCAAUGGCUGUUUGUUUUUGUGACACUUUGAGUAAUAAAAGC
rnacentral:lncRNA from 1 species